rnacentral:rRNA from 1 species
AGUGAACGCUGGCGGUAGGCCUAACACAUGCAAGUCGAACGGCAGCACAGUAAGAGCUUGCUCUUACGGGUGGCGAGUGACGGACGGGUGAGGAAUACAUCGGAAUCUACUUUUUCGUGGGGGAUAACGUAGGGAAACUUACGCUAAUACCGCAUACGACCUACGGGUGAAAGCGGGGGAUCUUCGGACCUUGCGCGAUUGAAUGAGCCGAUGUCGGAUUAGCUAGUUGGCGGGGUAAAGGCCCACCAAGGCGACGAUCCGUAGCUGGUCUGAGAGGAUGAUCAGCCACACUGGAACUGAGACACGGUCCAGACUCCUACGGGAGGCAGCAGUGGGGAAUAUUGGACAAUGGGCGCAAGCCUGAUCCAGCCAUACCGCGUGGGUGAAGAAGGCCUUCGGGUUGUAAAGCCCUUUUGUUGGGAAAGAAAAGCAGCAGGUUAAUACCCCGCUGUUCUGACGGUACCCAAAGAAUAAGCACCGGCUAACUUCGUG